rnacentral:misc_RNA from 1 species
AUCAGAUGCAACAAUUUAUCCUAAAAUGGUCCAAUCAGAAAUAGUACUGCAGAUAAAAAGAAUCAUUAUCCUGGGAAGACUUGAUGCAGCACUGGUUAUUCAUCAAUACAUAAAGAUUUACUGAGGUAUGAUUCCUCUUAUAUGGUAGAACAAGCCAUUGCUUAGUUUUAUCAGUAAUUUGAGUUUCACUUAUAAGACCUAUCAAAUGGGCAGUCCUGGUGAUAACCAUUUCAGUGCCAGAACUACUCACACUCACAUUGCUGAAGUGUCUAUUCGACACAAAAAUCAAAUGAACAGUCAUAUCCAGUGUCAGGAUAACAUAACUAAUCAACCUUCAUAUGCUGUUUAAGUUAUUUGGUUCAAGAUGGAAUAAUAAAUCAAAUAAAAGAGCUAAUACAUCAUCAUUAUCAGGUAUGAAGUUCAUAUUCCAACCAAGUAUUGUUUAUCAUUCUCAUGUCCCAACUAUCAGCGCAAACCAUUAAGAAACCCACCUCACCCACAAUUUUUUUUAGAAGAAAAAAAAAGAAUUAAGCAUAUUACCAUAUCUUAACCAUUAAUAAUUAAUAUCAUACUGUGUUUAAGACUUUGAAUAUCUAUGCAAGUGAAAGCAUGCUCAGCCACUAGAGUAAUGAACAGUCUCUGUCACAAAUUGUAUCUAUAAAUAAUGCAUUAGUCUAUUGCACACCUCUAUACAGAUUAUGUAGUCUUG